AUCGCCUAAUAUUCUCGACCAUCUUAUCCUAUAUUAAGGGGUCAUAAUAUAUAUGAGAUUUAAGGGAUA
rnacentral:tRNA from 1 species